CCCCGUUGACCCCAACUGAGCAGCAGCGAGCAGCUGCCCAGCUCCGCCUCACGACAGCCAUUCCCGUCUAAACAAACCAGUUACAACCACCAAACAAGCCCCCACACCACCAGUUGUUGCUUCAGCUCCUCCGCUUCCAGUGACGCCCAACAACAGCCUUUCAUCUUCGUCUCCAACUCAACCACACAGCCCACUAGUCGACAAGCAGUCACCACCAUGUCAUCUACCACCACGAGCAACACUCUUACGAAGAAAACCGCCCAGUUCAUGCCAGCAGCCCCUCUCGCUGCUUCAUCGUCUUCCUCCUAGUCCCUCAUCUCCCAUGAACACACACGCACAUACACGAGAAAAGAAGCUGAAAAACUGGGAAAAAGUUUGAAAAAAUCGGACAGAAAAUCCGGGCAGAUUUGAGUUAUUUUGGGUUUCAAAAUUCCCAGGCAGAUCUGUUUCUAUUCGAGUUCAUCGUUGUUUCGAUCCGGUUAGUUGUUUAAGUUUCAUUUCUGUCCGUAUUUUGUUUGAUAUUUUCAGAUCUAAAAUUAGUAUAUAUUUUUUGUUCAUUGUUUAUCACUUCUUGAUUAUUUCUUCAGUUUGUUUUAUCAUUUGUUCUUGUUUAGUUUUAAUAUAGAAAUGUUAUAGUUUAAUCAGUUGAAUUUUUUUAUCUUGAUUGUAAUGUUGUUAGAUUUAAUUUGAAGUUCAUUUAAUUAUUGAGUUUAGUGAUUUGAAUCUGUUCUAUUGUUGUGUUAAGUCUAAAUUUAGCUCUGAGUUAGAGAUUUGAAUUUGUUUAUUUGAUCUGUUAAGUUUAAUUUGAAUCUGAGUUUGGAGAUUGAAGUCUACUUGUUUGUUAUGUUUAAUUUUGUUGUUGAAUCUGAAAGUAUGUUUGUUGUUAAAAAUGUUGUUGGUUCUUUGCUGUUCAUAAUAUAAUUUGAAUUUGUUGGUUGAAUUUGAUUAAGAAUUGGUUAUAGUUGCUAUAUUUUGGUUAAUUAAUUUAGGUGAAUUGGUUAUAGCUGAUAAGGGUAGAAUGGUUAAUUUCAAUAAUUUCGGGGGUAUUUUGGAAAUUGAUUAAAUGUGAGCCCAUAACUUUUAAUUAAAAUAAGAGGGGACAAGACUUGUGGGGAGCAUAAUGAUGCAAAGCAAAAAGAGGAUUAAUAAUAUGGUCCAUUGAAAAGAGGGGAACGGUGGGGUCCAUGUUAACUGCUUUUUACUUAAUUAGAAAUUAGAAAUAGUAUGGAUAAUAAUAAAAGGAGUAGUAAUAAUAGUAAAAGGGUAGAAGAAGGGAGAGUCUUGUUUGGGAUAAAUAUGGGUCAUUUUAACACUUAAGGGGAGACUAAUUUUUGUGAGAGAAAUUAGAGAACUUAAGAAUUCAGUCUUGGGAAAAAUAAAAUAAAAAGUGAGGUCUUUUCUUUACUGCUAAAUAUUAGAACUAGUACUGUUACUACUUCACUAGUUAUUGAUGGAUUUUCUGCUUGGUUAUUAAAUCUAUUCCUGGGGUCUUCCUGCAGUGUUUGUUACUGGUUUACUGCUUUGGUUGUUGAACCUGUUGUUUCUAUGUUGGGCUACUGCUGCACUACUAACUUCUUCCUCUUCUUUUGCAUCUAAUAUCAGGUACACAACUGGUACACCUUGUAAGUUGAUACCAUGAAACAUGAAUACAAAUAAAGAGUUGAAGUUUUAAUUUUAUGUAGUUUUGCUACUUAAUGUAUUUAGGCCACUCUAUAUACUAUUGUUGUAUAAGUUUCUG
rnacentral:lncRNA from 1 species